rnacentral:rRNA from 1 species
AGAUGGCGACCGGCGCACGGGUGAGUAACACGUAUCCAACCUGCCGAUAACUCGGGGAUAGCCUUUCGAAAGAAAGAUUAAUACCCGAUGGCAUAAUAGAACCGCAUGGUUUGAUUAUUAAAGAAUUUCGGUUAUCGAUGGGGAUGCGUUCCAUUAGGCAGUUGGUGGGGUAACGGCCCACCAAACCUUCGAUGGAUAGGGGUUCUGAGAGGAAGGUCCCCCACACUGGAACUGAGACACGGUCCAA